GUCUACCAUGCAGUCGACGGUAACAGAAGAGAGCUUGCUCUCUUGCUGACGAGUGGCGCACGGGUGAGUAAUAUAUAGGUAAUGUGCCCCUUGGACCGGGAUAGCCACUGGAAACGGUGAUUAAUACUGGAUACUCCUUCUAAUCAUAAGAUUAGUCGGGAAAUGGAUUCCGCCAAGGGAUCGGCCUAUAUCCUAUCAGCUUGUUGGUAGUGUAAGAGACUACCAAGGCAAUGACGGGUAGCGGGUUUGAGAGGAUGAUCCGCCACACUGGUACUGAGACACGGACCAGACUCCUACGGGAGGCAGCAGUGAGGAAUAUUGCACAAUGGGGGAAACCCUGAUGCAGCAACGCCGCGUGGAGGAUGACGCAUUUCGGUGUGUAAACUCCUUUUAUAUGUCAAGAAAAUGACGGUAGCAUAUGAAUAAGCACCGGCUAACUCCGUGCCAGCAGCCGCGGUAAUACGGAGGGUGCAAGCGUUACUCGGAAUCACUGGGCGUAAAGGACGCGUAGGCGGGUUGGUAAGUCAGAUGUGAAAUCCUACAGCUUAACUGUAGAACUGCAUUUGAAACUACUAACCUAGAGUAUGGGAGGGGCAGAUGGAAUUAGUGGUGUAGGGGUAAAAUCCGUAGAUAUCACUAGGAAUACCGAAAGCGAAGGCGAUCUGCUGGAACAUAACUGACGCUAAGGCGUGAAAGCG
rnacentral:rRNA from 1 species